rnacentral:rRNA from 1 species
GAUGAACGCUGGCGGCGUGCCUAAUACAUGCAAGUCGAGCGAACGGACGAGAAGCUUGCUUCUCUGAUGUUAGCGGCGGACGGGUGAGUAACACGUGGAUAACCUACCUAUAAGGCUGGGAUAACUUCGGGAAACCGGAGCUAAUACCGGAUGAUAUUUUGAACCGCAUGGUUCAAAAGUGAAAGACGGUCUUGCUGUCACUUAUAGAUGGAUCCGCGCUGCAUUAGCUAGUUGGUAAGGUAACGGCUUACCAAGGCAACGAUGCAUAGCCGACCUGAGAGGGUGAUCGGCCACACUGGAACUGAGACACGGUCCAGACUCCUACGGGAGGCAGCAGUAGGGAAUCUUCCGCAAAGGGCGAAAGCCUGACGGAGCAACGCCGCGUGAGUGAUGAAGGUCUUCGGAUCGUAAAACUCUGUUAUUAGGGAAGAACAUAUGUGUAAGUAACUGUGCACAUCUUGACGGUACCUAAUCAGAAAGCCACGGCUAACUACGUG